rnacentral:lncRNA from 1 species
CCCUCAGCUUAAGGCUCUUCCCUGAGGAUGACCAUGGCACUUCCAGCUGCAGGUCUGGGGUGGCUGCUCAUCUCUUGAACCACUGUCCUCCCAGGUAGGUACAGAUCCCUUGUGUACUGCACCCUACCACCCCAAUUUCUCCCUGGGAAGUACAUUGAUUUGUGCUAGCAACUGCUUACUGGAGGACCCAGCUGUUACAGUGGACACUUUCUCUGGAUGUUGGAUGGAGCUCUCUUUAACCCAUCCUUCCCCCUCUGAAUGCUGGGAGAAGCUAAAUGCUGGCAGUCUUCCUCCAGCUUCAAAUCCAAUUAAGUUCACUGGAGAAUCUGGGCAAUGCCUCCAGAUAACAUUCCUACUUCCAGCCU